rnacentral:rRNA from 1 species
GACAGGUGCUGCAUGGCUGUCGUCAGCUCGUGUUGUGAAAUGUUGGGUUAAGUCUCGCAACGAGCGCAACCCCUAUCUUUAGUUGCCAGCAUUAAGUUGGGCACUCUAGAGAGACUGCCCGGGUUAACCGGGAGGAAGGUGGGGAUGACGUCAAGUCCUCAUGGCCCUUAUGCCUUGGGCUACACACGUAAUACAAUGGUACAUACAAAGGGAAGCGACCCGGCGACGGUUAGCAAAUCUCAAAAAGUGUAUCUCAGUCCGGAUUGGAGUCUGCAACUCGACUCCAUGAAGUUGGAAUCGCUAGUA